CACGUGUUAGUUUUUCUAAAACAGUAUGCAGUAUACAGUAAGCAGCAUGCUGUUAUUUCAUUUUAAAAACAGUCUUACAUGGAAAGUGCAGAUGAAUUAGACUAAAUUCUUCUAGACAUUCAGUAAUGAGCUGCAAUAAAAACCUUCCCAGAGAUUCAACUGAUUGAUCUGCAUGAGAGUGAGAUCUUUGGAGAACAUGAGACUGGAAUGAGUCUGAUGAGAGAGUUUCUGUACCUUCAACAAUCACUUGAAGAUCUCUAGAUGUUUCUGUGCCGUCUGAGUGAAAGAGUGUUAAUCUGUAAUUCCCAGAAUCUGCUCUGAUCACACGGUUUAUUAUCACAGUCCCAUUAAUGACGUUCACUUCAGGUCUGUUAUUAUAAAGAUCACAUUCACUCAUCCUCAUCCUGUCAUUCUUUACUCUACAAACUGGACCAUCUUGUGUGUUGUUGUUUAUUCUCUUUUUUAUCUGCAGGUCAUAUUCUCUAGUGUCCCGCACCAUCAGCAGAUUGAGUUUGUGUUCCAGAGCUGCGUAACAGGGAUCAGAUUGAUUAAAAUUGCAGAACCGAUCCAGACC
ensembl:lncRNA